rnacentral:lncRNA from 1 species
UCGAAUAACCCCUGUAUAGAGCAGCUUUCUGCACGAAAGCAUUUAGCUUCUUUACAAGCGUAGCGCCACCUCUCUGUGAAAGAGAAAUGCAAUUCAGAAGCUUUUUGGCUGCGGCGUGAGUACCGUUGCGAUCUCACAACGUUGCAACAAACCAUCCAAAAUUUUUAGAAAAAGAUAGGCUGGCACUCAAAAACAAACCAGUGGAAAACGGACUAAAAAAAUGUAUAAGUCCAUCAUGCAUAUAAAACAGAAUGAGACAGCCUCAAUUUAGGUAGAUUUUUUAUGAAAAGAUGGGAAUUUCAAUAGCGUCCAGUGUUCAAGGUCACUGUUUGAAUGCAGAAUUUAGUUGGCAUGGGUUUUUUAAAUUUAUUCGAGUGGAGAUCGUGAACAAGUGCACAUCGGGAAAAAACUGAGUAUUGAAAGUUAAUACCAAGUGAAGUUGAAUUGAACAUCUUAACAAGGUAGUGAUUAAAAUAAGUUCAAACGUUUUGAGAAUUAAUUAUUAAAUUAAUUUAGGUACGGCAGAGCCAAGUGAUAGGCAAAUAUUUAAAUUAAAUAGUGUUGCUAGUAGAAUAACACGUGCUAAAAAAAACAACUCACCGGUAAGAAUAAGUUUGGUGUCUUGAUUUCAAAAGUGGUGAUCAGCUUGAAUUUCAAAUCAAUGUAGGCCCAAAAGAUCUCUAUCGGGAUUUAGCUGUUCUGGAAAGACAGGACGAGCUGGCUAAAACCGUAUUCGCUGGUAUAAUCCCCACUGCUCAACGUGGGUGCCAGUCUGGGACCAGAAAGUUGUUCGGAUACCCGUUAAACAUCCGAUAAGCAAUCCAGAAGGACCACCCUAAUCGCUUUCCCUCCUGACAAGCCACCCCACUCCCAUCCGGGGAAAUUCUGAGUGGAAGCGUUUGGGAGCAUCGUCUACUACCGCAUUACUAGAGACGGCCGCGCCACUGGUGGCCAACAUAGGAACCAGCAGUAUUCUCCAAGCGUUUCACUGCUCGACACGUCACACGGGUUGCCUACCUAAUAGCGCAACAUAAUCAGCCGAUCCGCUCGAUAGCCGAAUCUGCUGGAAUCGCCGACCAGGGGUCUGCAUCACGUUAGUGCACACGGAGCAGGAAUUGUGCAACACUACGCUCGUUCAGUUGGAUGUACGGUGCCCGCUGAUCGAAGCCCGUCUUCGUAUUCAAGUCCAAUAUCACCUGCCAGCCUUUCCGCCACCCGGCCAAGUCCCAUUGGUCGCUGCGUUACGACUACUACCACCACGCUCUUUCAGUUGGAUGAAUGGUGCCCGCUGAUCGAUGCCCUUCAUCACGCUCGUUUGAAUAUCAACCCGCCAUUCCGACUCGGGCCCAGUCCUAUUGGUCUCUGGGUUAACGAGUACCACGCCAUCUACCACGAUUUCACCACCAAGACGCUUCCCGCCACGCUGCUUCCGAUUGCUGCUGCCGAUCUUCUGCGCCAAAACAGGAUAACAGGUCAGAUCUGAUUUUUUUUUUAUGAACCAUAAUGAGCUCGAAGAACUUCAUGUAAAGCAAGUGACGUCACUUAGGUAAAUUUAAAAACUAGAAUAUAGAACAUGUUGAAUUCAGAA